CAGCACGCCCUGGACUUCUCUACCCGGCAAAGCAGUCCCCAGGCUGGACCGCAGAGAACAAGGAAAUGGACUCCCAGCUGCAGUCUGCAAUGUGCCAAAAUUUACAGCCUGUUGGAGGAAGACAGCAUCAAGAUGCGGAUAACUCGGAGCCUAGAGAGGCCCACAGCCUAGGCCCUGAUCACAUCUCAAGCCCAGCUGUCCUCCAGCCACCUCCAAGAUCGGCCUGCACGACUCCCCUGCUGGGAACACUCUAUGGAUUCUCUUGCCUCCUCGCUCUCCCGGCCUUGUCAGACCUCAGUUUUGGUUUAAUUUGUGCAGCCCUUUGAAGCACGCGUACCUCUAGGGAAAAAGCAGAAUCAAGUACUCUUCUUGGCCACCCAUUUCCUGAAGCGUGAAAAGGAAACAUUUCAUCAGUGCUUUGUCAAGGAGACAACAGGAAGGGGUAGCGGCUCUCUGGCUGGCAGGGCGAGCCGCCUGGUGUUUCACAGAGGAGGGAGGUGAGAUGGCACAUGGGCGCCGAGGCCCCAGCCAGGGGCAGCAUGGACACAGCCCUGGGCACAGUGUCCCACGGGCCACUCCGGCAGAGCCACGAACCCUCAGCCCUCCUGGGCAGGGAGGAAAGGCCUGGGGCAUCACCCCCAUUGCCCAGGGGGGAGACGAGAGCCAGAGAGGUGGAGAGUGACAGCUUCGGUGGAGAGACACUCCUGUCUUUACACCCUGGCUUCCUUAUUCAUGCUUCUUUCGCUCCUCGGGAUUUUUUUUUUUUUUUUUUUUUAGUUUGGGGAAUGGGGACUAGACAGUUGAAGACAGAUUUGUUUCUAACCUGGCUACCUUCCAGUGAUGUAGCCUUUAUCAGUUUAGCUUGUCCUCUUCCAGCCCACGCUAUUCUGUGUCCCUCGGCCAAGGGAGCUCAGCCAAGGCCCCCCCAGCGUCCCACCCAGCAGAGUUGCAAGAGGCCCCAGGCCCCUUCCUGUUCACUCCUGCUCUGCAGACAUGAUGCCAUGAGGCAGACAUGUAGGGACAUGGACACAAGGGGCAGCCUGUGGCUGGAUAGUGGAGGGCCCUGAAGGGCUGGGGAAGCUUCUAAGGGAAGCAGAGUCCUUCCCACAGCAGCAGGUUCAUGGUCUGUGCACAUGGGGGAUGAGGCCCGGGAGGGCAGAGCUCCUGGGUAGCACGUAAACCCGUGUCUUGUCUUUUCCCAUCCAAGCUGCCUGUUGUGGGCCAGAGUACCCCGGCGGUGGCCAUUGCUGGGGUGGCUGCCUCUAACCACAAAGAGAGGAAGGAACAUUCUCAGCCUGGGCACUUGAACCCAGCACAUUGCCAUCCUCAGCAAGAUGUUGCAAGUUCCUAAUCUGGACCCAGAGGCCAGGGAGUUGAGGUGUCAUCUGGAGCCCAGAGUUGACUGUUACCCACAAACACAGACAUCCGUGGGGCCUACAACACCCUCUCCCCAGUUGUCACACCCUCAGCAGUGCCUCCGGCCUGGGUGGUAUCCUGGGGAAGCCCAGCUGCCACCUCUCUACAAACGGCCCCGCGGCAGCUGUGCCAACAAGCCACUUGCCUGGGGCGGGGCUGGGGUCCACCUUGCUGUCAUUUCACACCAUUAUGGACUGAUGCAACCAGCUUUCAUCAGACACCACCGGGGAAGAAGCACAUUACAACAGCGUGCUCAGCACUUCCCCUGCCCGUGCACAAGGCUUGCUCACCUCAGCCAAGAUGGACCUCUUCCCGCCCUGGUAUCUCACCCCGCCAGGCUGCGAAGUGCCUUCUGCAGCGGACCAGAGCAGAUCGCCUCCUCCCAAGAAAUUAAACCAGUGGCUUUCGAUCCUGGCGGGGCACCGCCAUCAUCAAGGAUAUUAAAAAGAUAUUGAUGCCUGUCCCUCACUCUCACCCCAAAGAUACCAACUGAAUUGAUCCGGGUUAAAAAACAAAAACAAAAACCUAAGUGUGUAUUGAAGGAUCACAUACAGGCAACACCACAAACCUGAGGUGUAAAUCUCAGUGAAUUUUCACUCAGCGAACCCCGGGUUACCCGAAGUAAGCAGCGUCCAGGUCAAGAAGCAGAACAUCACCAACGUCCGCUGGUGCCCUGAAGGGUAACCACCAUUCUCACUUCUAAAGGUGAGACGAAAGCUGUUACACCCAUGGUAUAGAUGAAGAAACAGAGGCUACGGGAGGUCUCAUCUGAGGCCACGCGGCUAGUAAGCGGCAGAGCGGGGACUUGAUGCAGAUCUGGCUGACUUCCAAGAGAUGCUCUCGAGGGCCAGUCCUGCCUCAGCCCUGUGGGACUACAGACGAGAUGAGCUGCUUGCUCCCGGGGAGCUUCCAGUCUGGUCGGAGAGAUUGAGCUCCCCACAGACCACAAGGGGAAUGGCAGACAGGAAGGGGACAGGCACUGGAUGGGCUGCUGAGGAAAUCUGUACCCUGCAAACAUGACAACUUGGGAAUCUGUGCAAAUGGUGUGAAAGAAGACCAAAUGGUCCCAGAGGAUGACAGCCUGGGCAUGACCCAACCCCACCAACCCGCGGGAUUCACUCCCAGAGGAAAGGACUCCACCUCUAACCAGGCCCAGGACUUUUUCUUGUCUUUGGCCGUCCCUGCCUAAAACUUCCAGAGACCUGAGGAAGCUCUUAUCUUGCGCACAGCCCACUGACAGAUGUUGAAGACUGAUAUAUCAAGAAGGGACGGUUUCCAUCUGUCUUCCCUGAAGAUUUUCUGCCGCCAUGACCCUCUCUAUGGGCAGCUGACAUAUUAGCCUCUCUCUUUCUUCCUAUUGUCAAGGGAGCUAAAUGAAUAAACCAGCCCAA